rnacentral:ncRNA from 1 species
UCAAUUUACACAUGCAAGUAUCCGCGCCCCUGUGAGAAUGCCCCCAGUUUCCCACAAGAAAACAAGGAGCUGGUAUCAGGCACGGCCCAAUAAGGCUAGCCCACGACACCUUGCUCAGCCACCCCCCCACGGGAACUCAGCAGUGACAAACAUUAAGCCAUGAGUGAAAACUUGACUUAGUUAGAGCUAAGAGGGUUGGUUAAUCUCGUGCCAGCCGCCGCGGUUACACGAGGGACCCAAGUCGACAGCCAACGGCGUAAAGAGUGGUUAAGGCGUACUUAAACUAAAGCCGAAGGCCCUCAGAACUGUUAUACGUUUAUGAAGGUAUGAAGCUCACCUACGAAAGUGGCUUUACAACCCCUGAACCCACGAAAGCUAUGGCACAAACUGGGAUUAGAUACCCCACUAUGCUUAGCCCUAAACAUUGAUAGACCAUUACAAGCGCUAUCCGCCCGGGUACUACGAGCAUCAGCUUAAAACCCAAAGGACUUGACGGUGCUUUAGACCCACCUAGAGGAGCCUGUUCUAGAACCGAUAAUCCACGUUAAACCUUACCUUUUCUUGUUUCUCCAGCCUAUAUACCGCCGUCGUCAGCUUACCCUGCAAAGGACUAAUAGUAAGCAAAAUUGGCAAAGCCCAAAACGCCAGGUCGAGGUGUAGCUUAUGAAAAGGAAAGAAAUGGGCUACAUUCCAUAACACAAUGAAUACGAAUGAUGGGCUGAAAUACCCAUCUGAAGGAGGAUUUAGCAGUAAGGGGAAAACAGAGAGUUCCCCUGAAGCCGGCCCUGAAGCGCGUACACACCGCCCGUCACUCUCCCCGAAUUAGCCUAGCCUGUAGAUAACACAACACAAAAAACAAGGGGAGGCAAGUCGUAACAUGGUAAGCGUACCGGAAGGUGCGCUUG